UACGGAGGGUGCAAGCGUUGUCCGGAAUCACUGGGCGUAAAGGGCGCGUAGGCGGCUCAUGAAGGCUGUGGUGAAAGUCCGGGGCUCAACCUCGGAUCGGCCGUGGCGACUCGUGGGCUGGAGCACUGUAGAGGCGGGUGGAAUUCCGGGUGUAGCGGUGGAAUGCGUAGAGAUCCGGAAGAACACCAGUGGCGAAGGCAGCUCGCUGGGACGUGACUGACGCUGAGACGCGAAAGCGUGGGGAGCAAACAGG
rnacentral:rRNA from 1 species